GGGGUUGUGGCUCAGUGGUAGAGCACUUACCUAGCAUGAGGGAGGCCCUGGGUUUGAUCCUCAGCACCACA
rnacentral:tRNA from 1 species